rnacentral:lncRNA from 1 species
UGACAUCUGGGAAUAAUAGUAGUAAUAUAUUAUUCUCUUUGUUUCUAAUCCCUUUUUGCACCCCUAGCUCUGCUGCUGCUGCUGCACCAGAUCCAGCAGCCCCCUGCUAUUCAGUCCAGAGUACAUAUUAUUAUAAAUUUUUGUGCCUUCAUCAUCAUGGGUCGUCGUCGUUGGAGCAAAGGGAGGAUUAUAACAAUAAUAAAAAUACUGUAAUUGGAUCCACAUCACGAAUUCCCUAUUAUGUAUAUUUUUAUGUUAGUACUCAUGAACUACUUUUUUGAGUGCGCCCAUUCUCUUCUUCUUCCCCUCCACUACUAUUCAUCAACUCUUCUUCCUGAGCAAACACUCCUGCACUCGCAGAAGGAGGAGGAGAGAAGAUGAAGAGCCGUGAAGGGAUUAUUAUAGACGUAUUAAAGAUAGAUCUUAAGUUGGAGCAAUGACUGAACGACAAAGUUCCUAAUCUUCAUAGAUAGACGACAGCACUAUAUUCAUUUAUAUUAUAUACUGAUGAUGGAGAAGAAGUAGAAGAUAAUACAUACAUAGAAGGAGGGAUUUGACCUUUUGGGUUGCCGUGAAGAAGCAUAAGAAGGAGAAGAUAAGAAGAAAGGGGAACUAUUGGCUUGUAUACUUAAAUACAAUAUACAUAAAUAUAUGCGUAACUUUGGCAUUUGUGGACUCGGUCUGUGAUGGAAAAGAAAGACGAGAAUCUGAGGGUCAUAAAUACCCUGUAAUUUGUACACAUCCUUUACCUCCUCCUCUUCAUCUCAAUGCAAAUGUAUCGUAAUAAUAUGUAUUCGGAUUCCUUACACAACUUGUUGUCGACGUCGUUGGCAUGUUGUCUUCCUCUAACUAGGUACCAUGUUAUGGUGUCAAAGGAGGGAGGGAAGAGUGUGAACUUUUGUUGCAACAAAAUAACUUUAAGAGAGAGAAGAGAAGCAAAUGGGAGACAAAUUCCAUGGAAUAAAUAGCUAGAUAGAUGACUUCAUAUUCUCAUAACAUAAUACACACUUAAUUGAAUUAU